AACGGGGGGGGCGAGCGUUAUUCGUCAUGAUUGGGCGUAAAGAGUUUGUUGGCGGUCUGUUAAGUUGCAGGUAAAAGGUAUCUUGGUCAACCAGAUAAGAGGCGUGUAAUACUGAUAGACUAGAGUAUGGAAGAGGAUAUUUGUAUUCUUAGUGGAGGAGUGAAAUCCAAUAAUAUUAAGAAGACAAUCGACUGGCGAAGGCGAAUAUCUGGAACAUUACUGACGCUGCAGAACGAAGGCAUGGGGAGCAAACAGG
rnacentral:misc_RNA from 1 species